GAGAGAGUACUGGCGUAUGCAGGGCUUUCCGGCCAAUCCGUAAUGGCCAAAUCUUGAAACCGCAUUGAAGGCUUCGUGGUUUCUGCAUCUCUCGCUCGACCUUCUCCGAAGUCGACAAUGGCUUGCCUCUCCAUUUCCAUGCUUGGCUCAUGAAAUCUCUCUUCUUUCCUCGUAUAUUUUCUCUCAAACACCUAUACUCUACUCCACUAAAAACCCUCAUGGCCUCAUCUCUAACCCAAGAUCAUCCACCUCCAGACCUGGACAACCUUCUCUCUUCUUUUCCGCAGCAACAGCAAACGGAGGAUGAUACCCCUUUGUCUUUGCCAGAAAUGACUGCAUCUUGCUGCUUGGACACACCGGGCCGGUACCUGAGCGGAGAGUCUAGGGUGGAGCGGGCAUGGUCACACUGGGCGAAGCUGGGCCGACCUAAGUUUAUUGUUGCUCCAAUGGUGGAUAAUUCGGAGCUUCCGUUUCGAAUGCUUUGUAGAAAGUACGGUGCUCAGGCUGCUUAUACUCCGAUGUUGCAUUCCAGGAUUUUCAACGAGGACGACAAGUAUCGAAAUCAGGAAUUCACCACUUGCCAGGAGGAUCGACCAUUAUUUGUCCAAUUUUGUGCCAAUGAUCCGGACACCUUGUUGGAAGCUGCUCGGAGGGUGGAACCUUAUUGUGAUUAUGUUGACAUUAAUCUGGGGUGUCCACAGCGAAUUGCUAGACGGGGGAACUAUGGAGCUUUCUUAAUGGAUAAUCUUCCACUUGUCAAAUCUUUAGUUGAAAAGCUGUCUCACAACCUUCAUGUUCCUGUGGCUUGCAAAAUCCGGGUGUUCCAAAAAGUAGAGGAUACUAUUAAUUAUGCUAGAAUGCUGGAGGAAGCUGGCUGUUCCCUUUUAGCUGUCCAUGGUCGAACUAGAGAUGAGAAAGACGGAAAAAAAUUCCGAGCUGACUGGAAUGCCAUCAAGGCUGUUAAAAAUGCUGUCAAAAUCCCUGUUCUUGCUAAUGGGAACAUCCGGCACAUGGAUGAUGUUCAGAACUGUUUGGAAGAGACUGGUGUUGAUGGGGUGCUUUCAGCUGAGUCUCUCCUUGAAAAUCCAGCUCUCUUUGCUGGAUUUCGGACAGCUGGAUGGAUAACUGGUGAUGAAGAAAGCAAAUUCGAUGAAAAACUGGACCAGACUGAUCUGUUUGUGGAGUACUUGAAGCUUUGUGAAAAAUACCCUGUACCAUGGAGAAUCAUCCGCUCUCAUGUGCACAAGAUGUUGGGAGACUGGUUCAGAAUACAUCCUCAUAUACGGGAAGAUCUCAAUGCACAAGCCAGACUGACCUUUGAAUUUUUAUAUAAUAUAGUAGAUCAACUCAGGGAGCUACAUGUGAGGAUUCCACUUUAUCUGAAGGAUGUGAAAGUUCAUACUCAGGUGGCAGAAGUUUCUGCAAGUGGCGCGUCCAAUUGAAUUUUGCAGUAUAUAGCACAUUAUUUACACCCAUGCAAAAUGAGAAUCAGCUAGCAGGAGGUUACCCAACGUGGAGCAUUGCUGAAGAUUUUUUAGGGGAAGCUCGGGCCAGACAAGAAGCUCGUUAUCGAGAAUUGGUUAACGAGAAUCUGCAGCUGAGAGUAAAGGUUGAUCAGUUUGGGCAAGAAAAGGCAGAUUGGAUUCAUGACUUUGAUAAAUAUACAGAAAUGUCCAACUUCAGAUUGAAUCACUUACACAAGAAGUCAGAAAGGCGAACCGAUGACCUUAUGGAGGCACAUAACCAACUAAGAGGCUUGAAGAAGAGGUUGAGGGAUAUGCAAAAGGAAAGAAACAUGGCCAAAGUGGAAUAUGAAGCUGGUGAGCAUUGAUGGGACGAGGAAAGGUCUUUGCUUAGGGAGAAGUUAUUGCAAGCAUUGUCGGACUGCGAAAAAUUGCGUGAUGAACUCAUUGCUGAAAAGAGGCGGGCAGAGCGAAUUGAACAAGAUUGUAGCUAUUAUCGGAGCCAAUAUCUGGAGUUACAAGAGAGGUUUAAACGACUAACACUAGAGUAUAUCCGUGAAAAGAGCGAAAAGGAAUUAUACGCUAACCUCUGCUUGGAAUUACGAGAGAAGGCAAUAGCAUUGGAAGAAAUGAUCUUUAGGAAAUGGAGGAGAGAUGUAAGAUUAACAAUAGGAGCAAGGUGGUCAUUAAUGCUGCUUGGUAAGGAAUAUGGUUGAUGACUUGAGGCUCAACUUGGGUAAAGGCUUCGCCCGAGAAGGGGUGGAAAAUAUUUAAAGUAGACUGAGAAGUGGGCAGCAAAUAAGAGUAGGUUCCAAUAUGUUAUGUUUGCAAAGUAUGAUGCGGGAUGAGAGUGAAUUGGGAGAUUUUAAAGCAUAUCCACUAGGCUGUACUAGAUUUUCCCCUAUUAUGGAGCCUCAUUCAUGGGGGACUUUACCCAUUUCUUUUUAUUGUUUUUACAGACUCGACUAUUUGCCCCUUUAGUUAUGCUACUUGAUAUUAUAGCUUUUGAACUUA